UACGUAGGGUGCAAGCGUUAAUCGGAAUUACUGGGCGUAAAGCGUGCGCAGGCGGUUUUGUAAGUUUGUCGUGAAAUCCCCGGGCUCAACCCGGGAACUGCGUCCGAUACUGGAAGGCUUGAAUCCGGGAGAGGGAUGCGGAAUCCAGGUGUAGCGGUGAAAUGACGCAGAUAUCUGGAGGAACACCGGUGGCGAAGGCGGCAUCCUGGACCCGGAUUAGUACGCUGAGUAGCGAAAGCCAGGGGA
rnacentral:rRNA from 1 species